AUUACAAACCUGGGUGAGAAAUAUUAUUCAUUGAGAACAGACCUGCUCGGUGGGAUGUGUCAAUUAAUAUUGUGGCUAUGUCUCCUCGCCGUCAUUUUCGUGACUUUAUCCGACGGUAAAAUGAUUCCCGUUACUAAAAGAACGCCACGACCAAAGAAGACCAAAUAUAUUCUUCCCAAAGACUUCUUGGAAAGAGGCAAGAGCCUCUUGGCCAGCGUCAAAAUACCGAACCAAGAAUUCUGUUCAGAAAUGAUCCUGUUACCUGAAGACCAGUAUGUAGUUCUCCCGUGGUGGUUCAACUACUGCCAGGAGCUUAGAGAGAAGUCUGCAAAAGGCAUUACUGGGAACGUACACUAUACAGCCAUACAUAGGCACAUUCUUGAUGAGUUGCAAGCCUAUAAGAAGAAGGUGAGGGAAAAACAACAGAAGAAAA